rnacentral:rRNA from 1 species
UACGAAGGGUUCAAGCGUUAAUCGGAAUUACUGGGCGUAAAGGGUGCGUAGGCGGUUGUUUAAGUCUGUCGUGAAAUCCCCGGGCUCAACCUGGGAAUGGCGAUGGAUACUGGACAGCUAGAGUGUGUCAGAGGAUGGUGGAAUUCCCGGUGUAGCGGUGAAAUGCGUAGAGAUCGGGAGGAACAUCAGUGGCGAAGGCGGCCAUCUGGGACAACACUGACGCUGAAGCACGAAAGCGUGGGGAGCAAACAGG